CAUAUGUUGUAGUAUUGUAUGUGUUCUUAGGGUUAGAUUUUGGAAAGCAUUAAAACCGUUUUUGAAAAUUUUUAAAAUUACCUAGGCGUGUUCGUUUCUGUGUAUAGUAAACACUAUUGAAGUAUAAUUUGAUUUUAUAACGUGGUUAGUAAGUUAAUUUAGUCAUUUUAGUUUAGGGGUUCAUUUUAGGGUAUUGGACGACUUAAUAUUUAGUCUUCUGUUCCCAGACGACUAAAUAUUAGGUCGUCUGAUGUACAUUAUCAGCCAGAAUAAGUCGUCUAAACCGGACCAAACCUUAAAGUUUACCAAUGUACUUUUAAAGCUAACCGGAUUAUUUACCCAAUAUAUAAGGUGAUUUUUUUUUUUUUUUUUCAUUUUCCGCGAACAGAAACCCUAACAGUUCUCUCUCACCGGCGAUAUCAAAGGCGAUUCGAAUUCCCACUAUUUCCGAACAACCAUCGUUCUCAACGUCGGCUAUCUAUCUCACUUCAUUCUCACCGUUGUCGCCGCAGCUUCUUCUAACCCUAGCGCCGCCGAUUCCUCUAAACCCUAGCGCCCCCGCUUCCACUAUUUCCGAACAAACCGUCGCCCUCGCCACCGUGCUCACCAACGUUCUCACCGCCGCUUACUCUAAACACUAGCUAGCACCGCCGUUUCUUCUAAACCCUAGCGCCGCCGCUUCUUCUAAACCCUAGCGCCGCCGCUUCUUCUCUGUAAACCGUAGCGCCGUUUCUCUGUAAACCCUAACGCCGAUCUAUAACCACAAUGACGAGUACUCGAACUCCUUCUGCGACUAAUCAGACAAAAAGGAUGGAUAUUCCAGAACUCCCCCGUAGGUUAUACACAUUAGGGGAAGAGCCAGAACCCCACAAUAGCAUUUCGUAUCAUACGGAUAACACGAAGUUGCAUACUGCUCUUAGGGAAGCUCUCACUGAUGCUGAAUUUGAAGAGCUCAAGGAGUCGAGAUUGGGAGUUUUCAUCAAGUUCAAGGAGCA